CAGUGUUACAGCUCUUUUAGAAGCAGGCUUUUUGGUUUUUGCCAGAAAGCCCAA
rfam:Pan troglodytes isolate Yerkes chimp pedigree #C0471 (Clint) chromosome 2A, whole genome shotgun sequence.